rnacentral:rRNA from 1 species
GACAAACGCUGGCGGCGUGCAUAAAACAUGCAAGUCGAACGGACUUCAGUCCGCAAGGACUGAAGUGAGUGGCGAACGGCUGAGUAACACGUAGGUGACCUGCCCCGAAGUUUGGGAUAA